CUGCAAGUACACUCCAAGGAUUUAAGACCCGGUUUGGAGAACGAGUGGGUGGGGCUGGAAUUUUCCACCAAUGAGAACGAGCUCUGCAGCUGUCCUCUUGGCAAAAGAAAACGAACCAGGAAGAAAAGGAAACCCAGUGAAUGAGGGAACGGAACUGAGGACCGAUCCAGUAUGUUUAAAAAAAAUUAUUCCUGCCAGUGGCUCCUCCAUCGGAGUAGCAGCAAUUUAACAUUUCCUGGGGGAUUGCUGUCUAGCUUGACACUCACGGCUCAGAUGACACCUCUUCAAACAAAACUUCACCGAGUACCCAUCUCAGCCGCCUCCCAGCCACCCUCUCUGUCAGUCGGUUCUGGGUUUGUUUAACUUACAUUCUGUGUGUGUGUGUGUGUGUGUGUGUGUGUGUGUGUGUGUUCGCGUGUGCCUGUGGGCAGGAGCGUGCUGCAUGGGAUAGUGAUUGUCAGAAGACAACUUGUGGGGCAGUUUCUUUCAUACCUUUUGGGUUCUUUGGGUUCUGGAGACUGAACUCAGGUCACCAGGCCUGGCGACAAGUGCCUCUACCCUCUGUCCCAUUUCACUAGCCCAUGUUGGUCCUUUUUUUUUUAAAAAAAAAAAAAUCCUCUUCACAGUCCUCUCCACCGUGGGAUUCUCCUAAAACAUGAUUUCUUGAAAGAAGGGAGAUUUUCUGACAAAUGGCUCUAUCCUCAGUGCUCACAUGGUUUGUGGUCCCAAACUCAAUACAUAUUCUUGGAUGUGCAGGUAUUAUUGAGAUAAAGGUUGUCUCACUGUCCCCAAGAUUACAGGGAUGGACUGAUCAAUUGUGAGAGUGGGGACGACAAUGACAGGCUGAUCAUUAUGUACUUGGGACCAAAUCUCUAUGAAAACGAUCAGAACUAGGAGCAGAAGGCAGUGGGAUGGAGCACCCUUGUCAAUUUAGUAAGUGUCUGCAGGAACACUGGAGGGACAAGUUCCUGCUAUGAAAGGCUGCCAGAGAGAAGGGCUGAGGUGCAGCAAAGGGAAAUCCAUCAGUAUGAACCUUGAGCUCCCUGCACCACAGCACUGCACAAGCCUGUCUUAAUGCUUUGCUGAGGAGUGAUAGUGUUUGUGAGGAGACGUGUGAUGUAUUCUAAAGUCAAACUGGUCCCGGUACUGACCUCUUUGCUGUGAGCCCAUUGGGACUGAAAACUCAGGGAGAAGAUGUGGUUUUAUGGGUUCAAACACAAGAAAGGGCAGCAAGGUGUUGAAUUUGUGCACUAUUGUUGCAGGCAAUAAUACCUGAUACUUUUCUCUAGCUAUAGAACACAUGCCAAUUAGCUGGCUCACGUCUCCCAGUGCAGAACUCUUAACAACACUGAGAUGGGCUUGUGGCUCUGAGUUCCAUUUUGUUGAAGGCAGGCUUUUCCUGUCAUCAAGAACUUAUUAGUUAGGAAAUUAAGUUCUUGCACUCAUUGGGAAGUUCUUCAACAUGUAUUUGUCUUGUUAAAAUGAAUGCUUAAACCAGAUAUGAUGGUGAAAGCCUGUAAGACAGACAUGGAAGUCCCUCUUUCCCCAGGCUCUUAGGUUAGGGAGAUCAAUGUUUAAGUGUUCACUAAUAAAGGUAUUUAUCACUCACAUAAGAUUUUCUCCAUUCUAUCACAUGGGCAGAAUCUAUUCUUGGGGAGAGAGGUAGACCUCUAGAUUGAAUUCAUCUGAUCCAUGUACUGCUGGAAGCUUCUAAGAACCAAACAAUGAGAUAAAAUUUUUAAAAUAUCUUUAACUUGGGUCAGGAGUGUCAGGAAGUUCAUUGGGUGUCUCUCUCAGGGGAUGAUGUGGUCUAAAACUCUUAUCUUUCACUUUCUUAAUAAUGCUACUCUUGGUGCUGGGCUAGGUCAGGUUGGGCAUACAUCUAUUUCUCUUCCACUUACAUCUUUCUUUGUUGUGGGAAAUAUUUGUUGGAAAAGCCAUUGUUUUGCAUUCUUAAACUCACAGAUGUCACUUCCUGUCACUUCCAGAAGCAAGGCUUUUUCGAGUAUCUAGAUGCUCUAAAAAGGUCUCUGCCCACUAGAAGCAAGCAGCAGAAAGCCAGAAGCAGCAGACUGCAAGCUUUCCUUCUACUGGGUGGAAUUCUGCUUGUACUCUGCUGUUUUUUAAUUCUCUAGGCCAUGUAGACAUCCCACCAAUCGGGUCUUUCAUGCUUAAAAAGUGUCAAAGAUGCUUUCCUUGUCCUCAUGUUUUUGUUUUGUUUUGUUUUGUUUUUUUGUUUUUUGUCUUUUGACACACUGUCUCUGUAGCCCACCCUGGUCUGGAACUCACCAGGUAGCCUGAGAAGGCCUCAAAUGCAUGAGAGAUUCUCCUGCAUCAGCCUCAGAAGUGCUAGGAUCACAGGUGUGAGCCACCUGCCCAGCUCCAGUGGGUGCAGCCGGUGUGGCAGUUAUAACUGACUUCUGUUUGCAAACUGCCAGUAUAGAAUCUUGACCCUCCAGCAUUCUGUACCAACUUUGGGUGCAGGACCAGGCAAAAACCCGAAGAUCUGGAGAAAGAAGACAUUAGUGAAGGCCAGAACUGGCAAUUUGAUGUUUUAUAUAUCAGGAGAGUCCAGAAAUGGUCAUGAAAUCUGCACACUGAAGAGAGAAUCUGAAGCAUGUUUUCUCAUGUUAUGUCUCCCAUUAGCAUGCGUGUAGAAUGAAGAAUGUCAGGGACAACAGGGGCAGAGCAGGACUGCCAUGGCCACCUGUGUUCAGGACAGCACCUGAGAGGUUCUUGGCACCUGUUGAUGGAGAAGCAACAGAACCUCAGGAGGGCACCAAUUUUACUGGAGGACAGAAGCAAACACUACCCUCAAUGAUGAGGUCAUCACAACUUCAGAGCAAUUCCAGACUUCAAGGAAACAUGUUCAGGCAAACAGAGUACUCUCUCUAGGCCAAACAGGUUUUUGUGGUGUGCUGUGUUGUGUUCGGUGGCCACAGUGCAGUCAGGAAGAUGGUCAUCAGGACGACUUGGUUGAGAGACUAGACAUUCUGGAUCAGCUGACAUUGAGUAUGAGGCAGGAAGGAGGGCUAUCUCUUGCUGUUCUACAUUUGACAAAUAUGACCCAGAUCACAGAGCUGCAGCCAUCUCCUCUUAUCUCACAGAGCUUGUGAGGUGGUCCAUUUGUUCGGAAUUUCUUAUCUCACAAGUGAAGCUGCACUAAGGAGCUUCAAUAGUCAAAUAGUCAGUGAUCAUAAGAAGCCAAAGGAUCAAAGUGUGAAGAGUUUAAGCCCCAAACAGCAUCCUCUAAGGUUCUGGUGGAAGCACAGCCAGUGCCAUCAGUAGGAUAUUCUCUUGUAAGCUCUGACAUCUUUCCCAGUUUCCAUAGUGUUGGGGUACCAGACUCUAGUCAAGUAUCUCACCUAAGGAGACACUGUGCUGUCUGUGUCAGGAACCUCAGUUUCUAGCUGAUUCUGCAUGUUGGCAGUAAGCCUCAUCUGGGCUUACAGUCAAUAAAAAAUCAAGUUCACUCGAGUCAGAAACUUGACUUUACAUGUCAUCAGUUAGGUUUAAGUUCUGUGCCUUACUUCUUUAACAAACCGUUGUCUCUCACAGAAGCCCUCUGAGCAGAGUCAGACAUGUAGGCUUGUGUCUGGGACUCUUUGGGACCACAGUCCCUCUUCAGUCAAUUAGUGAUUAUGGGCACUUACAACCUGUGCUUUCGGUACCCUCAGACAGCCAAGGUAGGCUAGCAGUGGGUGCACUGGGCCCUUACAGCUAUACUGGCUUCUGGCCAGAAAAUAUUUUAAUCUUUAAACAAAUAUACCAUUUAAAGGAAUCAAUUUCCAAUUUCUAUGGACUCCCAAUGUUCUGUUCUACCUUGAAAUAAGCUUCAUUAAUAGAGAGCACUUCAGUGUCUUCCUCUGGGCUCUGUGAAUGAGCAUAGUGUGCCAUACAUACAUACAUACAUACAUACCAGUGAACAUACAUGACACAAAUUGAAAAUAUACACAGAUAUAUACAUACACCAUACUCAUAUAUAGAAAAGUCUCUAUAUAUACAAACACAUAGGAGCUCUACCUCUAGGAAUUAGCACAUUGAUCCCAGGAUCUCAACUUUUCUUCGGUCUCUGCGGCUGCAUCCCUGGCUCUUAACAUAUUUUAUGGGACAGGCUUCUGGUCCUCUCACUAUGUUGCUGCAUUUCCUCUGAAUCCAAACUCAGUGGAAAACUCUGGGCUGAUGUGGAGUAAAGUGCCAGAAUCUCAUUGAUCUGAGGCUGAUUCUACAUCUUGAGAACUAUCUGAUCAUGCUAACUGUGUUAUAAAGGAUGCAACCUGGGAGAGGAAACCACUUCCUAGGCAGACCUGAAUCCCACAUACUCACUGUAUUUGGACAAACCACAAUUGAUUCAGGAAGCAUUUUUUGGGAACUAAAAUGGGUGUGUAAAUCGACACUGGACAAAGCUGUUUGAGUUGGAUGGGUCUGAAAACACAAGCCAAGCCAAGAAUUCCCAGUGAUCCAGCCAGUCACGUCUGAUAUACUCAGCAGACUCUGACUCCAGCUCCACCAAGAGUUCCCGUGACUACUUCAGACAUGAGUUCAGCAAUCUCUCGGGAUCUCCAGCUCCAUGUCUUCAAUCCUGUCUAUGAGACCUGUGUGACUUCUCCCUAUGUGAAGAGGAGCCCCAUCUGCCCUUCUGAUGUGGAACAACAUGCAAAGAGUCGUGAUUUAUACAAGGGAACAGAAAAGGAUGAAGGCACAGGAGCCUGCCUCCCAGGUCAGCACUUGCUGAGAUCUGAGUUCAGUUGUCUGUGAUCUCUCCAAAAGCAGAAAUAAACCACCUGAUUGUGGCUAUAGCUGUGACACCCCAAGACAGCAGCUUGUUCUAUGAGUUUCAGGUCUUGAAACAAAACACCCAGAAGCACUCUUGGGAAGGAACUGCGUUUCCUUGAAGGUCAUCCUAAGUGUGCAUGGUGUGUGCAAACACUUGAAAAGGUGAUGGAGGAGCUCUUGGGUGUGCACAAAGCCAAGUGCUGCUCUCUGAAGGAAAAAAAUGCAAUCACCAGAAUGAACUCUCUUGGCUUAUUUAAACGCUUCAUAUAUACAGCUUUUAGGCACAUGUCUGUGUCUGUCCUAUGACAGCUAUCCUUUACCCUACCUAACCUCAGUGGGAACUGGAAUGCUGAAGAAUUGCUUUUAAUAACAGAUGAAGACUAGAAGUGUUUUAAAACCCUCAGCGUUGAGACACAAGCAGUCAUGUGUGCUCAGACACCAAAGAGAUGGAAUGGCUUGACUCUGCUAAGAGAAAGACUUGGCCAAUGUGCUCCUAAGAGAUGGAGAAGAGGAGGCCUGCCCUUGGGGUGGUCAGAUUUGCUUACAUGGAUCCAGCCUAGGGUGAGCAGCCCCAGUUGUUCCUGCAAACAGAAUGGUCUUCCUCACAUUUGUGGAGAAUAAUAAUCAGGCUCUGUGUUCUGCUCAGGGAUGAUCACAUGAUCAAAUGUAUUGUGAUUUCCUCCUCUUUCACAUGUUAAGAGAAAAGAACUCUUCACAUUUUCCUGCCACUCUCAGUCUCACUCUCUCAUAGACACAUGUGAAGCCCCCGCCACCUCACCCCAGUGAAUGGCUCUCAUCUUUCUCCCUCAGUCAGUGUUUCACAGCCUUGGCUCUUCUCCUUUGCUGGGGUACUGCAUUAAGCCACAGAUGCUGAGAUGAACCUGAGAUGUCCCCCUAGCACAUGCUAGGCCUAGCUGUGCUCAGGCUUCUUGAGGUGUUCUGGAAAGAGCCUCAGCCCUCUGCUGCCUAAAGCAGCUUCCCUGCUCCAGCCUCCUCAUUAAGGUCUAGCUGAGGUUUGCUUCACAUCACU